AAAGAAGGAGAAAUAGGAAGGAGUAAGAAUAAGGAAAGGCAGGAAGGAUGCAGGUUGUGUCAGAGCAUGAAACAUUAGCACUUAAGAUUCAACACUGGAAUAGUUAUCAGAGGUACAGCCAAGGGAGUGAGAGGCUACAGUGAAGUGGAAUCAAAGGCCACUGAAGUUGUGUCAGGAAAUGUUAGGGUUAGGAUUCUAUGAGUCACCCACACAAAUAUCAAAAUCCCCCAGGAUGUUGAGAACGAUGGCAGUGAAGAGAUAGAAGCCAAAAUCUUGAGUGAACGUAGUGUGUGGCCAAGAGAGAGUAGAGCAUAGUUGUCAGUUAUACCUGCGUUAGUGCCAGACAGACUUUGGUUCAAAUCACAGCCCUACCACUGACCAAUUCUCAUCCUUGGGCACCUUGUUUACCAUGUCAAAUUACAGUCUACUCAACUACAAAUUGGGGGAAAUAAUAAUGUGUAUCCCACAAGGCCAUUCUGUGUGGCAGAUGCUAACAAUUGCCUACCCAACAACACCCAUAUCUUCUUCCUCACUAACAGAACCCAAUCCUCCAUGAACGCUGCGAGCAGGUUGGCCCUAGCCUUAGAUCUUGGUUCAUCUUAGCCAGUCAUGGAGAUCCCUUCUUCUCUUUCAAUAACUGUCUUAGGAAAGACCCAAUACUGGACAACGAGAUGUGGAAUAAGCCUUCUGGGAUGACUUCUGAGAAAUGUUACUUAUCUCUUCAUAUUGGUUUGUGAAGAUGUGAUGCCAAGAGCUUCUGCAGCCAUCUUGCUACUUUUUUUAGGGGGGUGAUCCAUUAUCUAAAUACUUUCAAGAGGCCGAGCUGACUAUUGAUGUAGAAUGAUUCAGACAACAAGAAUUUGCUCCCAGAACUUAUAGCUAUAUCGACAUAUGGAGAGCAAACCAGAAUGCGACCACUGCAGCCCUGUCCUCGUUUUCCUGCCUUCCUGUUCCUCGGAGGGAUGACGGUUUUUGACUCAUUUGCUGAAAGCCUGAUAGACAUCUUGAAUAAUUUACCAACUUCGAGUCUAGAUUUCAAACUUAAGCUAAACCAAACAGACGACCUAUACACAGGAUAAAUG
rnacentral:lncRNA from 1 species